UGAGUACGAGAUGCUACGGCAUCGAAGCAGUCUAUGUCAUACUUCCAAGAAAAGCUCGCACUGUCAAAAACAAAUUAAUGCCUGUACCAUAACCGACACAGGUGGGUAGGUAGAGUAUACUAAGGGGCGCGAGAUAACUCUCUCUAAGGAACUCGGCAAAAUAACUCCGUAACUUCGGGAGAAGGAGUGCCUUUUUAAGGCUGCAAUAACCAGAUCCAAGCAACUGUUUAUCAAAAACACAGGUCUCCGCUAAGUCGUAAGACGAUGUAUGGGGGCUGACGCCUGCCCAGUGCCAGAAGGUUAAAGAAGUUGGUUAGCCCUGCGAAGCUGAUGACUGAAGCCCUGGUGAACGGCGGCCGUAACAAUAACGGUCCUAAGGUAGCGAAAUUCCUUGUUGGGUAAGUUCCGACCCGCACGAAAGACGUAAUGAUUUGGAUACUGUCUCGGAGAGGGACUCGGUGAAAUAGACUUGUCUGUGAAGAUGCGGACUACCUGCACCAGGACAGAAAGACCCUAUGAAGCUUUACUGUAACUUGAGAUUGAAAUUGGACUUUAUUUGCGCAGUAUAGGUGGGAGGCAUUGAAAAUAUUCUUGCGGGAAUAUUAGAGCCAUCAGUGAGAUACCACUCUUGUAAUGUUAGAUUUCUAACUCUGUAUCAUUAUCUGGUCAAAGAACAGUCUCAGGCGGGCAGUUUGACUGGGGCGGUCGCCUCCCAAACGGUAACGGAGGCGCACAAAGGUUUCCUCUGAACGGGUAGAAAUCGUAUCUAGAGUGUAAAGGCAUAAGGAAGCUUGACUGUGAGACCUACAAGUCGAGCAGGGACGAAAGUCGGUCUUAGUGAUCUGACGGUGCUGAGUGGAAAGGCCGUCACUCAACGGAUAAAAGUUACUCUAGGAUAACAGGCUGAUCUCCCCCAAGAGUUCACAUCGACGGGGAGGUUUGGCACCUCGAUGUCGGCUCAUCGCAUCCUGGGGCGGUAGUACGUCCCAAGGGUUGGGCUGUUCGCCCAUGAAAGCGGUACGCGAGCUGGGUUCAGAACGUCGUGAGACAGUUCGGUCCAUAUCCGGUGUAGGCGUUAGAAUAUUGAGAGGAGCCUUCUUUAGUACGAGAGGACCGAGAAGGACAUACCUCUGGUGUACCAGUUAUCGUGCCAACGGUAAACGCUGGGUAGCUAUGUAUGGAGUGGAUAACCGCUGAAAGCAUCUAAGUGGGAAGCCCACCUCAAGAUAAG
rnacentral:rRNA from 1 species